AACGAACGCUGGCGGCAUGCCUAACACAUGCAAGUCGAACGAGACCUUCGGGUCUAGUGGCGCACGGGUGCGUAACGCGUGGGAACCUGCCCUUAGGUUCGGAAUAACUCCCCGAAAGGGGUGCUAAUACCGGAUAAUGUCUUCGGACCAAAGAUUUAUCGCCUUUGGAUGAGCCCGCGUUGGAUUAGCUAGUUGGUAGGGUAAAAGCCUACCAAGGCGACGAUCCAUAGCUGGUCUGAGAGGAUGAUCAGCCACACUGGGACUGAGACACGGCCCAGACUCCUACGGGAGGCAGCAGUGGGGAAUAUUGGACAAUGGGCGAAAGCCUGAUCCAGCAAUGCCGCGUGAGUGAUGAAGGCCUUAGGGUUGUAAAGCUCUUUUACCCGGAAUGAUAAUGACAGUACCGGGAGAAUAAGCUCCGGCUAACUCCGUG
rnacentral:rRNA from 1 species